rnacentral:misc_RNA from 1 species
GGAAGGAGAGGAGGAAGAGGAAGAAGCCUUUGGUUUGAGAGAGAAUUCGCAUCAGGGAUCAUUGAUUUCCCCAAGAAUCCACUAAAAGAAAUUGUAACGACAGGGAUUUACUUAUUGAUCUAUUGGUUUUGGUUUUCUUUUGAGGGAAAUGGGAGAAGAAGAGGGUAAGAAGAGGAGGGUGGUGGUAGAGUCACUGGGAUGGCUAACGGAGUCGUCGAUAUUGCCAAAGAAGCACAGAGCCAUAGAAGGAGUGGGUGCCUCUUCCAUCCUAGAGCUCAAGGCCCAGCUCUACAAAUCCCAGGAGGAGGCCAAGGUUUCCAAGCUAUCCUCCACCGUUUCAGAUGUCAAUUACCACCGCGCCAAGAAGAAAAUCAUUCCCUCUGAUCCCUUCUCCGCCAAGAACUCCGGCGUCGAAUCCCGCGCUCUCAAGGACAAGCUGGAGCUUAAAGCGAUCAAUGAUGGGUCAGCCAGCUAUGCAGCUUUGGAGAAGAAGGCAGAGCUAUAUGAUAAGUUAGUAAGGGGAGAACUUUCUGAUGAGGAAGGCGAGGAGAAAUAUUGUGUUGAUUUUUUCCGCAAGGGACUCGAGCAAGAGGAGUCACAGCAGCCACAAAGCCAUGAUGCUUCUACCGCAGUAGGUCGUCCGGAAGAUGAAGAUGCUAGGAAUGAUGAUUCUCUGCUAUUCAGCGCAAAAUUUGUGGGGCCUGGACGAACUGCUGAAGCAGUGGACAGAGAUAAACACAAGCUUUUUGUUAGGGAAGUUCAUGAAGAAGCAAAUCAAGCAAGAGAAAAGGUUUCAGAAAUCAAGCUGCGUAGACAAGAACAGGCAGCAGCUCAUCGCGAGAAAAUAAGACAGGCAUAUCUUCGUAAAAAAUUGGAGAAAUUGAAAGCUGCAUCUAAUGCAGAACAGCCAGGAUUAGCAGAAGGUGGGAGUUGAUAAUCCUGUAACUCAUAUGGUGGAGUUGAUCAAUUCAAACAUUGUGAUGAAGCUCAUAGGAACAAAGUGGAAAAAUGUUAAAAUUUUGUGAAACUCUCUCUUUGUAAAAAUGCAAAAGAAUUCUGUGCUGCCACUUGUUUGUUUUGAUCAAUUUUCACUUAUACAUCCA